rnacentral:RNase_P_RNA from 1 species
CCAGAGGGCCGGGCGGCCGCGGUGCUCGCCAGAGCAACGAGGAAAGUCCGGGCUCCACGGAACAGCGGUGCCGGGUAACGCCCGGCCGGGGGGUUCGACUCCCGAGGGAAAGUGCCACAGAAAGCAUACCGCCCGGCUUCGGACGGGUAAGGUCGAAAGGGUGCGGCAAGAGCGCACCGCGGGGGCGGCAACGUCCCUGGCACGGUAAACCCCACCGGGUGCAAGACCGAAUAGGGGCGGCACAUGGGCCUUGUUCCGGCUCGCCGCCCGGGUUGGUUGCUGGAGGGGCGGGGCAACCCGCCUCCUAGAGGAAUGGUCGCCGCUCCUUCGGGAGUACAGAACCCGGCUUACAGGCCCUCUGGCUGU